AGUCACAGGCGCGCCUCCGCGUCGCUGCCUCCAGGGACUCUCCCGGGAGAGACCCGCGCGCUCCCGGGUUCGGGGAAGUCGCGACGCCAGCUCGAAUGCCGCCUCCCGUCUGCUCCUGGUUGGGAUCCUGUCUUCAAGUGCAACAGCCAAGCCAGCUGCCCACUCCUCUGUGUCCUCUUAGAUUGUGCUCUGGGUGUGUGUCUUCUCUGCUGGAUUAAGGAGCUCACUGGAGUGGAGGUGACUGCAGUCAGCAAAACACUCAGGAAAUGAUUGCUGGAGAAGAGUGGGGAAGGGACCCCACAUCUCCCCUCUGCCUGCCCUCCCUUCUGCCUGCACCUUGCGGCCUCUCUUGCAGUGAGAUGUGGCCGUGGGACUAGAUUCCUGCCCAUGGGAAUGUAAGGAAGUGCCGUUUCUGGAUAUGGGACUCAUGUCUCUGUGUAGGACUCAUCUCCUCCAUACUCUUUCCCCUUCCCCUGGCUGGAAGCAGGGGAAGGCAAGUGAAUUCAGUCACGUAGACAACAAGAAAGCCAUGGGGAUGGGGGAGCUACACGGGAAAGGGACUUGGGUUUCUGAGUGACUGUGUGGAGCUGAGCAGCCCUCACUACUUGGAACUCCCUGUAAGACAGAAAGAAACUUCUCUGGUCUAAAGCCACAAGGACUUAGCUUUACCCCAAGAACAGAGCACACCCAGUGGAGCACUACGUCUAAGAAGUGUGAGCACCCACAGCAUGGAGUGUGCCAGAUUGGACAACAGACAUUUCCUAAGAUUGAGUGACUUUAGGAGAGCAGGGAGUGCCUGGCUCAGGCAAGGUGGCACCUUUGGGGGUCCCAGGUGGCAGACAGAGCUUCGCCCAGGUCGAACUGUGCAUGGGCCCAGGGUGCUGGCCAGAGGUGGGGCGGCUGGAGUUCACAGGCCAGGCAGCCAAGGGGUUGGUCUGGCAAGUGGUCUGCCACCAUGGACCCAGGCCUCAGACCAAACAGGCUGCUAAAGACACGGGUCCUCAAAUCAUCUGCAGGCAGGGUCUGGCCUGGGCCCCAGGAGUCCACAGGCAGGGAGCACCCUGGGGAAGAGCUGAGGAUGCUGCAUCAGAAAAGAGGUAGGGAAGGCGGGGCAGGCCGGAGCACCCACACAUGCGCUGCGUGUUAGGCACAUACACACACGACCCUAUUUAACCCCCAACAGCCCUGACAAGCAGGUGUCAUUGAAUUCAUUGUUGGCACCGUGGCUGUGGCACUGAGUCCAGGAGCCCUGGGUCCUCCUCACCACAUCACCCUAGUUAGAUGGGCAACUCAUUUCUUCUUUGUUUAUACUAUGUGAAGUUUGGUUUCUUUCCAUUUAUUUGUCAAAUAAGUAAAUGUUUUAAAAUUUAUUUUAAUUCUUUUUUUAAAGAUAGGAUCCUGCUCUGUUGCCCAGGCUACAGUGCAAUGGCAUGAUCACAGCUCACUGCAGCCUCUAACUCCUGGGCUCACGCAAUCCUCCUGCCUCAGCCUCUCAAGUAGCUAGGACUACAGGCACAUGCCCCUGUGCUUGGCUAUUUUUUUCUUUUUUCUUUCAGUAGAGACAGGAUCUUACUAUGUUGACCAGGCUGGUCUCUAACUUAUGGCCUCAAGUGAUCCUCCCACCUCAGCCUCCCAAAGUGUUGGGAUUCUAGGCAUGAGCCACCUUGCCUGGCCAACAAAUGUUUUUGAACAUUUACUCUGUGCCUGGAACUACAUAUAGUGUAACAGGGGAGGCAGAAUAUUAAACAGUUAACAUGAUAAGUAAUGAAAAUAGUGAGUGAGCAUAAAUAGGGUGCUCAGGGGAAGUCUCGUGGAGAAGGUGACAUUCAGUUAGUAACUAAUUCCCUUGGGAAAGGCUAAUGCGAGAACACCGAACACUGUUUAAAUGCAUGCUCUGAGCUCUUCCCAGCAAAAGUUCUUUCUAAGUGGUUCUCAACAGGGGGUGAUUGUGCCUCCCACUCCCAGGGACAUUUGGCAAUGUUCAGAGACAUUUUUUGAUGGUCAUAUCUGGGAGGGGUGCUACUGGCAUCUAGUGGGUAGAAGCUAGGGGUGCGGCUAAACAACCCACCACGAACAAGACAGCCUCCGACGACGAAAAGCGAUCCAGCUAAAAAUGUGAAUAGUGCUGGGGUCGAGAACCUGCCCUGGAGGACAGAUGUGCUUUUGCUGAAGUCACUUAGAAGGCAAGGUGGCUCCAUCUGCCCUUCCCCUCUGCAGCUUGGAUAAAGGGUGGACCACACAUUGUUCAGCAGAGCAGAUGGGAGCGCCUGGCGCCCUGGGAUCCCGCAUCCUGGCCGCGGUCUGCCGACAUGGGGUAAGGAAGAGAAAGAUGAUGAUUUGUACUAACUGGUACAACCUACUGCCAAAUCGCCAGGGAAAGCGAAUGAAACACAUCCCAAGAAACUCUGUUUAUGGUGCAGGAAGGGUUUAGUGACUUUACUGCUCAGAUUACCAUUUGGAUAUCAGUUUCAUCAUCGUCAACCUCCAAUUUCCUGUUUUGCUUAUCUUAGAAUGACUCUUUUAAAAAAUGUUUGCACUGCUCAGAUGGCUUUGGCUUCAAGUUGAUUAGAUAUGGAACUGGUUUAUAAUGGAUUAGAAUGCAGGAUUUGUUUGCUUUGUAAUAUUUUAAGAAAGCAAUGAAAGAAGCGGCAAUGACAGGGAGAGAUAUUGUAUACUUACAGUCUGAUUCUUUUUUCAUUACCGGAAAAGACAACUAAUUUAGGAAUGUGGAUUAUGGCCCUUGGUCCCUUUUUGAUUUGUGUUUCACUUCAGGGUUUUCCUGAGUUACAAAUCCCUGCAGAUUUGUGAGACUUAAGAGGUACACAUGUACAUUUAUUUUUCCUUUUAGCAUUUUUUUUUUUAGCCUGCAGGAUCCCAUGGGGUUUUUUUCCCCCUCCUCCUUUCCUUUAUGUGUUUCCUGAUAAGCCAAUCUGUGUACUGCUUUCCCUGCACUGUCUGUACAGUUGGAAGCAUUAUUCAAAUGAGUCCUGUGAAACUGAUGGCCUGUGGCCCCGGUUGUUAAACACCGACACGCUGCUCAUUAACACUCAGCAUCCGGAUAUCCUAAUUUCAGCUCAGAUUUUGGUAAAUAUAUAUUUUCUUGAUCAUUUCCAACUACCAUGCAAAGCCACAUCCUGUCCUCUCUGAGAUGCUUAGAAGAGUGUAUUGUGCAGGGACGGCUUUGCAGACAGGCAGCAGGAGGCUACACAUGCUGAUGUCGGGGCCAGGAGACCAUCAGAGUAGUUGAGAGAGGGCUUGCUGUUGGGUCCAAGACUGAGAGCUUAGAUUCCUGGGGCUUUCUGGGCCUCAGGGUUAGAGGUUGUCUUUGGCGUAUUUCAAUAUAACCAGUCUUUAGGAUCCUUUGAUAUCAUUGUUAGAAACAGUAAUGCGUAGUCAUGGGCUGAGAACUUGGGACCAGGAUCUAGGAUUUUUGGUCUCUCAGCCCUGGCUCCCCACUUCCUGGGAUAGAACCAAACCAGUGUGUAUGGAAGUUGACAGGCACACUGUGCAUUGGGGGUUGAGCUGUGUCCCUGCAAGAGAUAUGUUCAAGUCUGGACUCCUGGUACUUGUGAAUGUGACCUUAUUUGGAAAUGGAGUCUUUGCAGAUGUAACUAAGAUGGAAGUUAUAAGAAGAGGAAAAUAGAUACAGAGACACACAUACAGAGGAGGACACCAUGUAAAGGCACAGACAUGCGGAGGGAUAACAGCCAUGUGACAACAGGGAUGGAGACUGGGGUUACGCAGUUGCAAACCAAGAGCAACCAUUAGAAGAUAGAAGAGAGGCAUGGAACCAGUUCUUCCUUUGAGUCUCCAAGAGGGAACCAGUCCUGCCAACACCUUCAUUUUGGAUGUCUGCCUCGAGAACCGUGAGAGAAUGGUUUCUGUUAUUUCAAGCCAGCCAGUUUGCAAUACUUUGUGACUGCAGCCCUAGGAAGCUACUACGGUAGCUCAUUAAGGGCAACAAAAGGAUUCUUCAACUUCCAAUUUUUAGGAUAAAAAGAGGCAAAUGUAUUUAACUCAGAAUAAUUACACUGAAACUAUUUUUUUUAAUAAGUGAGAAAACAUCAAUAGCGGUCAAAUGGAUCCCAUGAAUUAGUCAGUAAAGGGGUUAGGGGUAGAAUAUAGGCAUUUGUAUUUUUAAUCAAAAUGAAGAACUAAGCAAGGCACAGAUAGAGCCCCCACUCCAGGCUCAGUCUCUGGUGGUUACUAGUUUAGCGGGAUAACUGGUCAACCUGGACAGGGCAUGUAGAUCAGUUUUGAAUUUCUUGGUUGCACAGAAUUUAAAAAGUUCUUGGGCCGGGCACGGUGGCUCAGGGCUGUAAUCCCAGCACUUUGAGAGGCUGAGGCGGAUGGAUCCCCCGAGGUCAGGAGUUCGAGACCAGCCUGGCCAACAUGGUGAAACCUCGUCUUUACUAAAAAUACAAAAAAUUAGCUGGGCGUGGUGGCGGGUGCCUGUAAUCCCAGCUACUCAGGAGGCUGAGGCAGGAGAAUUGCUUGAACCCAGGAGGCAGGGGUUGCAGUGAGCCCCAAGAUCUCACCAUUGCACUCCAGCCUGGGCGACAGAGAGAGACUCCAUCUCAAAAAAAAAAAAAAAAAAAAAAAAGUCCUUGAUUCACCACUGCCAUUGAGACCAAUAAAGUUUUCACUCUUUCACUAGAAGAUUCUUCUUGAGUAGCAUCCUUUCUCUUGCUUCUCUUAGCUCAGCUUUAACAUAAUUCUAAUGGUGCUGUUAGUUGACAGUGAACAACUCACACUCAGUUCCCCCUGUAGCCACUUUUGAGUGGAAAAUGCAUCCAACUAUUUUGUUAAUCACAGCAACGUGGUGGCUGCAAGAAAUAGCUUUCUGGUGCCUGGGAGUCUUUCUGUCCAUCUCUAGGCCUCAAUUUGUUAAGAUCCCACUGCAUAUGAAAGACAGAAAUAAAUGAAAAUAGCAUUAAUGCUUCAGACAUGAAUUGAGGACUACGGCGUAUUGUUAAGUUCCAUGACAGCGCCUUAAGUCUCAAGAUCCAACAUCUGCCUUGAUAACUCUGGGCAUUGCCACAAUGGUUUAUCAGCGCCCAUUGUUUCAAAUGGACCCCACUGCCUGGUCAAUUGGGUUGCAGCUCAUCUGGAAAGAUUAUACAUGUAGGCACCAGCAGACUGUACAGGCUACUCUGGGCUACUUGGAUGUCUUAAUUUCAGGGCUUCUAACCCCCUGCCUACAAAAUGCUGGUAUACACUUUGGACAGAGAUAGGUAUCUACUGGGCAUUCAGGAAAUGUGAUAACCUGGCACCUAGGGGGUAUCUUUGGAGAUUUGCCCCAGUGUUGAUGAAGCCCUUGAAGAGAUAUCUUGAGCUAGCUCACACUAUAGGUAUGGACUUGCUGGAGCUGUUGGAUGGGCUCAUUGCCCAUGAAAUAAUCCAGUAGAGAAGAGCAAGAGGUCUAUGCAGGGAGAAGAUGAAAUACUAGAGAACAAAUGGGUCACAAUUCCCAAUUAGCCGAUCCAAGCAGUUGGUCAGACUUACACAGUAACAGUACCUGUAUUAACCAGUCCUGUUACUGGUGCAUAUACAAAUGGCAACCAAAGGUCACCAUACAUUAAAAGAAAAAGGGCCCCAAAUAAGAGGACCAAGAGGAUAAAUAGAAUAAUUGAGGCCAGGGAAAGCAUAGAUUAAUUAAGCAACAGGUAAGAACUUAAAACAAAAUUCCUAUCUGAACCUCUAAUAAGUUUCUUAGAAAAAACUUAGAAGAUAUUACAUUCAUAAAAUGUGAAUGGUUGCUCUGAAAAAAAGAGCACUUAGAGAAUAAGAAAGUUCUUGAAAAUUAAAAACUUUAUUACCAGAAUAAAACUUCUAAUAAAAAGCUUGGAAGAUAAGUAAACAAAAUCUUCCAGAAUAAAAAGUUGGAAAAUAAGAAAGAAAAUGUAGAUGACAUGGAGGACCAAUUCAGUAAGUACAGCAUUUUAUCAGAUGGCAAUCCCACAAAUACAAAAGAGGAAAAUUGAAAGGAGAAAAUAUUCAGAAAAAAAUAAUUGAUUUGAAAUUACCGGAGUUUUAAAAAUGUACCAGAGCUGAAGAGAAACACAAGGAUCAGCUAGAAAGUGUUCACCAAAUGCUGGACAAGUAUAACAGGUUAAAUUUCACCCCGGGCACAAUUUUGUGAGAUUUCAGAACACUAGACAUAAAGAGAAGAUCCUAAAAACUCACAAAUACAAAAAACCAACACCUACAAAGGGAUGAAUAUCAGAUUUGCAUUGGAUUCUUCAUCAGUAACACUGGAUGCUAGAAAACAGUGGGAUAAUGCCUUCAAAGUUCUGAAGGAGGACUCAGCUUUAAGAAACAGUGAAGCCUUUGAAGAAGGAAGUCUCCCAUUUAUCCUACUCUAGGAAGGACCUUUACAUGCUCCAUGCAUUCAAUGUUUACAAUAACAAAAGUGGCUCUGAUGUUUCCUGUUGUGCAAGAGAAGGUGAAGUCAAGAGAUAUUCGGUGACUUGCCCCAGUCCUCCUUCCCAGGAAGUGGCCAAGGGGUCUUUACAGGUUGAUGUAAGAUUGGCCCUGUGCAGUUCCCAGGAGGUCUGGGGUAAGAGUGGAUGGGCCAAGGCCCUGCGGGGCCACAUUCUCCUGAUGGGACUCGUGUGGCCAGACUCUGCUCCUGUCACUUGGAGACUGUGUAGUGGCCAUCUCCACUCAUCCUGGGACUGGUGCUAUGAAGUUGCCACCAAGAAGGAUGUUUCCCUUUUCUUCCUCCCCACACCCACUUCCCCACAGGGUGUGGUGGCAGCAGGUGCCUCUUCUGCAUGGCCAGGGUCCCCCAUCGCUCACAGCUGUCAGUGUGCACAUGCUCAGACCUGCACCAUUCCUGUCCAGCCCCUGCAGUUACCACCUGGAAUCUUCAGCCAGGACUUGGAGGCUGUGAGGUCAGUCGGGAAGUGGAUCAGGAGGCCACCCCCUUCUGUGGCACUUCUGAGAUGACAACUUGUUUCACAGUUGGAUGGGGGUGGGGAAGGAAAGAGCGGCCCCAUUAUUCCAGAACAUUUUAUCCACACAGGCUCAGACACCCUGUGAUGAAGAGUCCAAGAACAGCCUGAGAUAAGGAUGUCAUUCUUCUUUCACAGGCCCCACGAUGGGUUUAUCUUUUGGGACCAAGACAUUGGGUCCCUACAUGUUUUCCCCUACCCUUCUUAGGAAAUAAAAUAUCAAACAACCCACA
rnacentral:lncRNA from 1 species